AGUCACUGACAUUAGAUACCCCUGUAGUCCAGGGUGUAAACAAUGUGCGUUAGGUAUGUCGGUAACCACGUGUUACUGAUGUGCCGAAGAGAAAUCGUGAAACGCACCACCCGGGAAGUACGGUCGCAAGGCUGAAACUUAAAGGAAUUGGCGGGGAGCACCACAACAGGUGGAGCCUGCGGUUUAAUUGGAUUCAACGCCGGACAUCUCACCGGAUAAGACAGCUGAAUGAUUGUCAAUCUGAAGGUUUUACAUGACUAGCUG
rnacentral:rRNA from 1 species